rnacentral:lncRNA from 1 species
UGGCAAUAGAAAACCAAGUGAAUUGUCAGAGAGUUCAACUAGAUGUCAAGUCUGCAGUAGAGAAUGACAAACUUGAGAAUGAAGUAUAUGUUGAACAACCACAGGUUUCAAGGUUGAAGGUGCAGAUGAUAAAGUACCUAAGGAACAAGAAGAGCUUGAGUUGAUGGUUGAUAUAUUAAGCAAGCUAUUGAAUAUUGAAAGAUUUAAAGACCUG